rnacentral:rRNA from 1 species
UGGGGAAUAUUGCACAAUGGGCGAAAGCCUGAUGCAGCAACGCCGCGUGAGUGAUGAAGGUCUUCGGAUUGUAAAGCUCUGUCUUUUGGGACGAUAAUGACGGUACCAAAGGAGGAAGCCACGGCUAACUACGUGCCAGCAGCCGCGGUAAUACGUAGGCGGCGAGCGUUGUCCGGAUUUACUGGGCGUAAAGGGUGCGUAGGCGGAUGUUUAAGUGAGAUGUGAAAUACCCGGGCUUAACUUGGGUGCUGCAUUUCAAACUGGAUAUCUAGAGUGCAGGAGAGGAGAAUGGAAUUCCUAGUGUAGCGGUGAAAUGCGUAGAGAUUAGGAAGAACACCAGUGGCGAAGGCGAUUCUCUGGACUGUAACUGACGCUGAGGCACGAAAGCGUGGGUAGCAAACAGGAUUAGAUACCCUGGUAGUCCACGCCGUAAACGAUGAGUACUAGGUGUAGGAGGUAUCGACCCCUUCUGUGCCGCAGUAAACACAUUAAGUACUCCGCCUGGGAAGUACGAUCGCAAGAUUAAAAC